GUAGGGGGCGAGCGUUGUCCGGAAUCAUUGGGCGUAAAGCGCGUGUAGGCGGCUUGGUAAGUCCGGUGUGAAAACUUGGGGCUCAACCCCAAGCCUGCACUGGAUACUGCCUCGCUUGAGUCCGGGAGGGGAGAGCGGAAUUCCUAGUGUAGCGGUGAAAUGCGCAGAUAUUAGGAAGAACACCGGUGGCGAAGGCGGCUCUCUGGAACGGUACUGACGCUGAGACGCGAAAGCGUGGGGAGCGAACAGGAUUAGAUACCCUGGUAGUCCACGCCGUAAACGAUGGGCACUAGAUGUGGGCGGUGUCGACUCCGUCCGUGUCGCAGCUAACGCAUUAAGUGCCCCGCCUGGGGAGUACGGCCGCAAGGCUAAA
rnacentral:rRNA from 1 species